UACGUAGGGUGCGAGCGUUAAUCGGAAUUACUGGGCGUAAAGCGUGCGCAGGCGGUUUUGUAAGCCAGAUGUGAAAUCCCCGGGCUUAACCUGGGAAUGGCAUUUGGGACUGCAAGGCUUGAGUGCGGCAGAGGAGACUGGAAUUCCUGGUGUAGCAGUGAAAUGCGUAGAGAUGUGGAGGAACACCGAUGGCGAAGGCAGCCCCCUGGGCUAACACUGACGCUCAUGCACGAAAGCGUGGGGAGCAAACAGG
rnacentral:rRNA from 1 species